rnacentral:rRNA from 1 species
UACGAAGGGGGCUAGCGUUGUUCGGAUUUACUGGGCGUAAAGCGCACGUAGGCGGAUAUUUAAGUCAGGGGUGAAAUCCCGGGGCUCAACCCCGGAACUGCCUUUGAUACUGGGUAUCUUUGAGUCCGGAAGAGGUGAGUGGAAUUCCGAGUGUAGAGGUGAAAUUCGUAGAUAUUCGGAGGAACACCAGUGGCGAAGGCGGCUCACUGGUCCGGUACUGACGCUGAGGAGCGAAAGCGUGGGUAGCAAACAGG